AUGCUCGCGUGGGCACAUAUACUAAAACUGGAAGGAUCCGGAGAAGGUGAGCAUGGCCCUGCCCGAGGCUGACACGCAAAGUCAUACUUUCACGAAUGAA
rnacentral:snRNA from 1 species